UCGAGCGAAGUCUUCGGACUUAGCGGCGGACGGGUGAGUAACGCGUGGGAACAUACCCUUUGGUUCGGAAUAACACGAGGAAACUUGUGCUAAUACAGGAUAAGCCCUUACGGGGAAAGUUUUAAUGCCAAAGGAUGAGCCCGCACUUGAUUAGCUAGUUGGUAAGGUAAAAGCUCACCAAGGCGAUAAUCAAUAGCUGAUUUGAGAGGAUGAUCAGCCACACUGGGACUGAGAUACGGCCCAGACUCC
rnacentral:rRNA from 1 species